AAAAAAUUCAUUGUUAAAAGCAUACUUAUAACGAGGACUAAAAAUGUUUCUCGUGAAAUUAGACUAUUGUCUGCACAAUGACAAAAUAAUGUUAAAUGUCUGUCGUUAAUAAUCUAGAAAUAGAAAAUAAUACCAAAAAAAAAAACAAAUCGGACGCGGCGGGAUUAAAAUUUUGAACCGAUAAAAUUUCUAUUUUUCACUCUUACCUCCCGCUGCAUUGAACUCCUAAAAGAAACCCUUGUUUUCCCAAUCAAAACCUAUUCACUCUAAAAUUCCCAAUUCGAGGAUAAUCGGAAGCUGUAUUCCUAAAUCUUGCUGAUCAAGGUCUAUUCUUUCUCAAACUUAGAAGACAACGAAGGAUAUAUUCAAUAAUCGAUACACUAGCUAGCAGUGUCUGAACACAAGCCGCUUUUUUUCAAACAGCUCAAGAAACUUUGGCAUACCUCAACAGCUCCUUCAAAAGCAGGGGUUCUGUUUUCUGAAUUAAACACUUUGCUGAUAGAUUAUGAGCCUUACAAAGGCCUUCUGAAUCCGGUAAAUUACUGUCUCUUUAAGUUGCAAAAAAUGUGAUAAAUCUUGUCCUUGCAUCCAAACACUGACGUAUAUCCUAGGAAGUAUGAUGCAGGAAAUUUGACUGAUGAUUUUCUAGGGAACAUGAAAAUUUGGGCAUUGGUCAAUGCUAAAGUGAUUUGGUUGCUACUGGCCUGCUGCUCUUAAUUAGUUGCUGUUGUGCUUUGCAGUUGUUCUUAGAUGACGUUUUGCUGCUGCUCUUUAGUUGCUGGGCUCUUUGUUGCUACUGAUGCUUUUGGGUGCUGCUGCAGUGUUGUUGGUGGUGAUGUGGUGUUCCCGGUUUAUUAUUUUUUUUAAUUAUUAACAUUUUUAAUCAUAUAAUGUGAUGGGUUUAUGAGCACUUCUAGAAAUAUAAUAUAUAUUAAGUGUAAAUAUAAAUUUAUCAUAUUAUUUGAUAUAAGCAUGUGAAAUCUCCUGUCCAGUAUGUGCUGGACAUUUUUUUUUAA